UACGAAGGGGGCUAGCGUUGCUCGGAAUCACUGGGCGUAAAGGGUGCGUAGGCGGGGCUUUAAGUCAGGGGUGAAAUCCUGGAGCUCAACUCCAGAACUGCCUUUGAUACUGAGGAUCUUGAGUCCGGGAGAGGUGAGUGGAACUGCGAGUGUAGAGGUGAAAUUCGUAGAUAUUCGGCGGAACACCAGUGGCGAAGGCGACUCACUGGCCCGAUACUGACGCUGAGGCGCGAAAGCGUGGGGAGCAAACAGG
rnacentral:rRNA from 1 species